rnacentral:pre_miRNA from 1 species
UAUUGUUUUGUUAUAAAUGUAAUACUACCUCCGUCCCAAAAUAUAGCCAUUUUUAGCUAUGAAUCUAGACAUUGUUUUUAGCUAUGAAUCUAGACAUACAAUGUCCAAAUUCAUAACUAAAAAUGCUUAUAUUUUGGAACGGAGUGAGUAUUAAAUUUGUAGUUUUGUGAUA